AUCCCUGUAGCGCAAUGGAUAGUGCGUUGGACAUCUCAUCCAAAAGUCGUGGGUUCAACUCCCGCUUGGGAUG